rnacentral:rRNA from 1 species
UACGUAGGGUGCAAGCGUUAAUCGGAAUUACUGGGCGUAAAGCGUGCGCAGGCGGUUUCGUAAGUCUGUCGUGAAAUCCCCGGGCUUAACCUGGGAAUGGCGAUGGAGACUGCGAGGCUAGAGUUUGGCAGAGGGGGGUAGAAUUCCACGUGUAGCAGUGAAAUGCGUAGAGAUGUGGAGGAACACCGAUGGCGAAGGCAGCCCCCCUGGGUCAAAACUGACGCUCAUGCACGAAAGCGUGGGGAGCAACAGG